CUGUCUCCUCACAGCCCCGCUCCCCUCGCCCCGGAUCCGGCUGGGGGUCGUAAAGCCAUUCAUAACGGCAUCAGCGCCUGACAGCUCCCCGCCCUGACAGCAGCCUGGGACAGAGGGCGUCACGGGGAGCGUUCGCACCAGCAGUGGCCGUCAGAACUCCCCAGCUGUGCAGCGAGGAGAAUCUCAGCCAUAAAGCAAAAGCCGGCUCCCACCAGCCCUGGGGCUGAAGCCUGGUGCAGAGACUCUGGGCUUCCCGGCUUUGCCCUGCGUUCCCGGCCUGACCGCGGGAAGGAACAUGGACAGCUUCGCUGCACCGCGGAGAAGCCAGCGUCUGCAGGAGCCGCUUGGUGACAGCUUCUGCACCUGAACGGAGGCCUCGGGCCACGUCCCUUUGCGGAGAGCGACACGCGAGCACACGUGUGAUCACGCUGUGCAAGGGAUUCCAAAGACUGUGGGAAACGGUCUUAAAAGAUAAGUUUGUUUCUGUGCAAAACAAGGUUGAAGCCCGUGUGUACGCGGGAGCUGUAACAAGUCCCGGCAUGGAAAACCACAAGCGGGCUUCGAGGCAGCCGUGCGCCAACAUAAGGGCACUACGAAUCCCACCUCUCUGUGGACGGUUCGCAGCUCCCCCGUGUUCACGGGCCCGCCGCGUGCCAGGGAGCGGGGCCCAGGCAGGCUGGCGUUAACCCCCGCGGAGCCGGCCCCAAGAAGCAGGCCCUGCUGAUGGAAGGACACAGAAGAAGGACACAGUUUUCUGCUGUUAGAUUUGACCUCGCGACUUCAAGCAGGCCACACGUUGAUGCUCUUUGGUUCUCGGACGCGGCUGUGGUUUUGGAGAGUGGCCGGCUGACCAGAGCAGCCACGCUUCUGACGAAGGAGCCGGGCAGCAGCUGCAGGGGUGGGGGGAAGGUGGCUUCCAGCAGAGGACCGAGGUGCCCAGCUCUGGGCAGCACCCCGGUCGCUCUCAGAGGGGCUGGAUCCCCUCAGCCGGUUCUGAUGGCCACACCCGCCGUAUCUUCUGAGGUCAGGGACGCCCCAGCCGAGACGCGAGACACAGUGAUCCUUGCUGGGGCAGGACACUGGGCACUGCCACACAGGACCCCCUGUCCCUCCCUGACUGUUCUGCCUUGACUGAGAUGAGGGGAGAAGCAGGUCCCGAGGACCGCCAUGCACCCCCAUCCCGUGUGGAAGUACAACUGCUCUCCGGGUUGUCCGACCUGCUAGCAGUGUGACCGUGGGGCGAUGGGUGACAGCCACCGGUGUCUGCCACCUCCCCAGCAGGCCCCAUCGGGGGACGAGGCAGCCACGAGACAAACACAAACCCUUUCUCCCGGGGACCCACUGGGACCUGUGGACACCCACUUAAACCGAGCAAAAGGCAAGUUUAAUCCUUUUGUUCUGAAAGCUACAGCCUGAGCGUGACAGCUCCCGAGCACGGUCUUUUUUAACAGUAGCUGAUCGUCCGGCCUCUCGCUGCGGCAGCUGCCAGCCGAAGACCGCUUGCUUUUCCCUCGUCGCGGAAGCGCCACCCGGCUUCACUCCCUUUCCUCGGCUCUCAGAGAAGCCCUCCCGCCGGUCCCUGCCGGGUGUCGAACACACAGAGUUUUACGCUGCCGCUGCAGUCAUGGCUGAGAGAACCCCCUCCAUGGGAAGCCGGCAGGCAGCGGGGUCUGAAGUAAAAGCACGCUGGCUCACCCCGAAACAGCACCGUCAUGUCCCUUGUCCUGCACCCUCUGAUGGCCUCGGGGCUGGGGUCACACCCACCUCUCUCCUCGCAGGAGCUCCAGGAGGAGGGAGGGCCACUCGUGCACUUGCAGCGGGCAGCUCCACUGUCGCAGGAACGCUCGCUGCGCUCCCUGCGCAGACCCACGGAGGUGCCGGCCGCCCGGCGACAGCCGUCCCCACCGCCUCGUGUGGAAAAGCUCCCGUGGCCCCCGCCCUCCGACACUACAACCUCUGGAAGCAGGCACUGCUCUGACUUCAUGUGCAGACAGGGAAACUGAGGCCACGGGCCAGACUGCCAGCGUUGGGACCGAAGCCAGGCUGUCUGGCGGCAGAGCGGUGCCCGUCACUCCCCAAGCGGGACAACGGGGCUUUGGUGGCAGUCGCUCAGGCCCGGUCCCAGCGGGCACGGGCAUGCCUCUGCAGCCAUCUGAGCUUCAGUGUCCCUCGGGAAACCAGGGGCACGGCGGUCCCCACUGAAGGAGCUGUUAAGGGUAUGACCAGCGCCUGCCCGGUCAGAAGCAGUCAGCACACACUGGGCCCUGGGGUCUGGGCCGCAGGCCAGCUGUCCACAACCUGGCCCCAACACUGGGUCGUGGGCUGCAGCCUGGCGUCAGGAGUCGGCGAGAACUCUUGUCAUGUCCCAAAUGCUCGCACAGCAUAGCUAUGGGGGGAGGGCCAAGGGGACCCCACAGGCCAGGGCUCAGCCAGGUGCCCCGAGGAAGGCGAGUGGGCCCUCGGGGAGCAGAGCUGGGGGGCAGCCCUCAGGAGCCCUCCUGCCUUGGAGUCCCAUGGACCCUCCCCCUCCAGGCCGAGGGGACGCCUGCACAAGGAACACAGGAAGAGUAACAGCCGGGAUCCCGGCCUGCUCCGCGCAGUGCCGCGGCGGGAGAGGCAGCGGACUGGCAGGGCGCUUCCCCCAGCUCUCACAGAAACGGGUUCCCGUCCUGCUGCCCAGCUCAGACGGGGUGGGGGGGACGCUGAGAGCCCCCACAGUAAGAAAGGCUGAAACAAUGUCCGUCACAGGCGCGGCGACCGGCCAGGCGACUCGGGGAGACGGGACCACUGACUGUCUCGUGUCGUUUGUGUGGUUUACCUGCUGGGCGAGCCUGGCCACAGAACUUCACGUGCUGGACCCCCUGCCCCAGCUGCAAAUGAUAAUCCUUUAAUUACCAAAUAAAAUCCUUACCCCGAACAAUCACCCUACUCUAAAUAAACACGCCUCUCGUCUGAGAACCCACACUU